GGAAAUGUGGCUUAGUGGUAGAGUGCUUGCCUAUCAUGCACGAAGCCCUGGGUUCAAUUCCUCAGUACCA
rnacentral:tRNA from 1 species